rnacentral:rRNA from 1 species
GAUGAACGCUGACAGAAUGCUUAACACAUGCAAGUCUACUUGAACUUCGGUUUGGGUGGCGGACGGGUGAGUAACGCGUAAAGAACUUGCCUCACAGUUAGGGACAACAUUUGGAAACGAAUGCUAAUACCUGAUAUUAUGAUUUUAGGGCAUCCUAAGAUUAUGAAAGCUAUAUGCACUGUGAGAGAGCUUUGCGUCCCAUUAGCUAGUUGGAGAGGUAACGGCUCACCAAGGCGAUGAUGGGUAGCCGGCCUGAGAGGGUGAACGGCCACAAGGGGACUGAGACACGGCCCUUACUCCUACGGGAGGCAGCAGUGGGGAAUAUUGGACAAUGGACCAAAAGUCUGAUCCAGCAAUUCUGUGUGCACGAUGACGUUUUUCGGAAUGUAAAGUGCUUUCAGUUGGGAAGAAAAAAAUGACGGUACCAACAGAAGAAGUGACGGCUAAAUACGUGCCAGCAGCCGCGGUAAUACGUAUGUCACAAGCGUUAUCCGGAUUUAUUGGGCGUAAAGCGCGUCUAGGUGGUUAUGUAAGUCUGAUGUGAAAAUGCAGGGCUCAACUCUGUAUUGCGUUGGAAACUGCAUGACUAGAGUACUGGAGAGGUAAGCGGAACUACAAGUGUAGAGGUGAAAUUCGUAGAUAUUUGUAGGAAUGCCGAUGGGGAAGCCAGCUUACUGGACAGAUACUGACGCUAAAGCGCGAAAGCGUGGGUAGCAAACAGG